rnacentral:rRNA from 1 species
GGGUUGUGAGGUUAAGCGACUAAGCGUACACGGUGGAUGCCCUGGCAGUCAGAGGCGAUGAAGGACGUGCUAAUCUGCGAAAAGCGUCGGUAAGGUGAUAUGAACCGUUAUAACCGGCGAUGUCCGAAUGGGGAAACCCAGUGCAAUUCGUUGCACUAUCGUUAACUGAAUACAUAGGUUAACGAGGCGAACCGGGGGAACUGAAACAUCUAAGUACCCCGAGGAAAAGAAAUCAACCGAGAUUCCCCCAGUAGCGGCGAGCGAACGGGGAGCAGCCCAGAGUCUGAAUCAGCUUGUGUGUUAGUGGAACGGUCUGGAAAGUCCGACGGUACAGGGUGAUAGUCCCGUACACCAAAAUGCACAGGCUGUGAACUCGAAGAGUAGGGCGGGACACGUGGUAUCCUGUCUGAAUAUGGGGGGACCAUCCUCCAAGGCUAAAUACUCCUGACUGACCGAUAGUGAACCAGUACCGUGAGGGAAAGGCGAAAAGAACCCCGGCGAGGGGAGUGAAAAAGAACCUGAAACCGUGUACGUACAAGCAGUGGGAGCACCUUCGGGUGUGACUGCGUACCUUUUGUAUAAUGGGUCAGCGACUUAUAUUCUGUAGCAAGGUUAACCGUAUAGGGGAGCCGCAGGGAAACCGAGUCUUAACUGGGCGUUAAGUUGCAGGGUAUAGACCCGAAACCCGGUGAUCUAGCCAUGGGCAGGUUGAAGGUUGGGUAACACUAACUGGAGGACCGAACCGACUAAUGUUGAAAAAUUAGCGGAUGACUUGUGGCUGGGGGUGAAAGGCCAAUCAAACCGGGAGAUAGCUGGUUCUCCCCGAAAGCUAUUUAGGUAGCGCCUCGUGAAUUCAUCUUCGGGGGUAGAGCACUGUUUCGGCUAGGGGGUCAUCCCGACUUACCAACCCGAUGCAAACUACGAAUACCGAAGAAUGUUAUCACGGGAGACACACGGCGGGUGCUAACGUCCGUCGUGAAGAGGGAAACAACCCAGACCGCCAGCUAAGGUCCCAAAGUCAUGGUUAAGUGGGAAACGAUGUGGGAAGGCACAGACAGCCAGGAUGUUGGCUUAGAAGCAGCCAUCAUUUAAAGAAAGCGUAAUAGCUCACUGGUCGAGUCGGCCUGCGCGGAAGAUGUAACGGGGCUAAACCAUGCACCGAAGCUGCGGCAGCGACACUAUGUGUUGUUGGGUAGGGGAGCGUUCUGUAAGCCUGCGAAGGUGGCCUGUGAGGGCUGCUGGAGGUAUCAGAAGUGCGAAUGCUGACAUAAGUAACGAUAAAGCGGGUGAAAAGCCCGCUCGCCGGAAGACCAAGGGUUCCUGUCCAACGUUAAUCGGGGCAGGGUGAGUCGACCCCUAAGGCGAGGCCGAAAGGCGUAGUCGAUGGGAAACAGGUUAAUAUUCCUGUACUUGGUGUUACUGCGAAGGGGGGACGGAGAAGGCUAUGUUAGCCGGGCGACGGUUGUCCCGGUUUAAGCAUGUAGGCGGAGGUUCCAGGUAAAUCCGGUACCUUUUAACGCUGAGGUGUGAUGACGAGGCACUACGGUGCUGAAGUAACAAAUGCCCUGCUUCCAGGAAAAGCCUCUAAGCAUCAGGUAACAUUAAAUCGUACCCCAAACCGACACAGGUGGUCAGGUAGAGAAUACCAAGGCGCUUGAGAGAACUCGGGUGAAGGAACUAGGCAAAAUGGUGCCGUAACUUCGGGAGAAGGCACGCUGGUGUGUAGGUGAAGUCCCUGCGGAUGGAGCUGAGACCAGUCGAAGAUACCAGCUGGCUGCAACUGUUUAUUAAAAACACAGCACUGUGCAAACACGAAAGUGGACGUAUACGGUGUGACGCCUGCCCGGUGCCGGAAGGUUAAUUGAUGGGGUUAUCCGUAAGGAGAAGCUCUUGAUCGAAGCCCCGGUAAACGGCGGCCGUAACUAUAACGGUCCUAAGGUAGCGAAAUUCCUUGUCGGGUAAGUUCCGACCUGCACGAAUGGCGUAAUGAUGGCCAGGCUGUCUCCACCCGAGACUCAGUGAAAUUGAACUCGCUGUGAAGAUGCAGUGUACCCGCGGCAAGACGGAAAGACCCCGUGAACCUUUACUAUAGCUUGACACUGAACAUUGAGCCUUGAUGUGUAGGAUAGGUGGGAGGCUUUGAAGCGUGGACGCCAGUCUGCGUGGAGCCAACCUUGAAAUACCACCCUUUAAUGUUUGAUGUUCUAACGUUGGCCCGUAAUCCGGGUUGCGGACAGUGUCUGGUGGGUAGUUUGACUGGGGCGGUCUCCUCCCAAAGAGUAACGGAGGAGCACGAAGGUUAGCUAAUCCUGGUCGGACAUCAGGAGGUUAGUGCAAUGGCAUAAGCUAGCUUGACUGCGAGCGUGACGGCGCGAGCAGGUGCGAAAGCAGGUCAUAGUGAUCCGGUGGUUCUGAAUGGAAGGGCCAUCGCUCAACGGAUAAAAGGUACUCCGGGGAUAACAGGCUGAUACCGCCCAAGAGUUCAUAUCGACGGCGGUGUUUGGCACCUCGAUGUCGGCUCAUCACAUCCUGGGGCUGAAGUAGGUCCCAAGGGUAUGGCUGUUCGCCAUUUAAAGUGGUACGCGAGCUGGGUUUAGAACGUCGUGAGACAGUUCGGUCCCUAUCUGCCGUGGGCGCUGGAGAAUUGAGGGGGGCUGCUCCUAGUACGAGAGGACCGGAGUGGACGCAUCACUGGUGUUCGGGUUGUCAUGCCAAUGGCACUGCCCGGUAGCUAAAUGCGGAAGAGAUAAGUGCUGAAAGCAUCUAAGCACGAAACUUGCCCCGAGAUGAGUUCUCCCUGAGACUUUAAGUCUCCUGAAGGAACGUUGAAGACGACGACGUUGAUAGGCCGGGUGUGUAAGCGCAGCGAUGCGUUGAGCUAACCGGUACUAAUGAACCGUGAGGCUUAACCUUACAACGCCGAAGCUGUU